UCAGCCACAGUGGCUCAUCCUGAGGCCCAGGCGCGACCUGGACUCGAAUUAGCCUGAUUGGCUAACACCUGUAUUGGUUUAAACCUGAUUUGAGUUGAGCUUCUCUGAACUUCUACAGCAAAGUAAUGGAUCCACACGGUUCGGGAACACGUGGCGUCACCACACUGACGGCUCCUCGUGCAUAUCUGUGGUGUUUUCCUGCCUCUGCUGGAUCGGGGUGUGGGAGUUACACUCGGUGUGAUGCACGGGAAGCUACAGACACAGAUGGGAUGGAAAUCACAAGCGACGAAAGCAUGGAGGGCUCAGAACUGGAUCCAGUUUGUGGAGUUCUGUGGUCGAGAUGGAGGUGGAACAGAGCUGAAAACACAAAAUCCUGAUGAGCAGAGAAGUCUCCCCACAGAUCUGAACCCGGGUUUGACUGAACCACCGUGUUGGAGUUACUGCUGUCCAGCUCCAGCAGGCAGCCUGACAGAGAGGAAGAGAUCAGAGCUUCUUCAAGGUAGAUCACACACUGACACACAUUCUGUUCAUUUCAUGCAGCCUGAAGCUCAAAGACAAUUAACAAUUCAAUUAACCCAGUGACUCAGAAAACAGGGCGGCAGGUUAAAGCUGCACAGUCUUGAGUGACGCUCGAUCCUGAAAC